rnacentral:rRNA from 1 species
CAGAUCGAAAGCUUGCUUUUGAUGCUGGCGACCGGCGCACGGGUGAGUAACGCGUAUCCAACCUUCCCUAUAGUAGAGAAUAGCCCGGCGAAAGUCGGAUUAAUGCUCUAUGUUGUAUUUAGAAGACAUCUGAAGAAUACCAAAGGUUUACCGCUAUAGGAUGGGGAUGCGUCUGAUUAGGUAGUAGGCGGGGUAACGGCCCACCUAGCCGACGAUCAGUAGGGGUUCUGAGAGGAAGGUCCCCCACAUUGGAACUGAGACACGGUCCAAACUCCUACGGGAGGCAGCAGUGAGGAAUAUUGGUCAAUGGACGAAAGUCUGAACCAGCCAAGUAGCGUGCAGGAUGACGGCCCUAUGGGUUGUAAACUGCUUUUAUAUAGGGAUAAAGUCGGGGACGUGUCCCCGUUUGUAGGUACUAUAUGAAUAAGGACCGGCUAAUUCCGUGCCAGCAGCCGCGGUAAUACGGAAGGUCCAGGCGUUAUCCGGAUUUAUUGGGUUUAAAGGGAGCGCAGGCUGAUGAUUAAGCGUGACGUGAAAUGUAGCCGCUCAACGGCUGAACUGCGUCGCGAACUGGUUAUCUUGAGUGAG